AAAACGACUCUCGGCAACGGAUAUCUAGGCUCUCGCAUCGAUGAAGAACGUAGCGGAAUGCGAUACUUGGUGUGAAUUGCAGAAUCCCGCGAAUCAUCGAGUUUUUGAACGCAAGUUGCGCCCGAAGCCAUUCGGCCGAGGGCACGUCUGCCUGGGUGUCACGC
rnacentral:rRNA from 1 species